GGGGGGGGGGGGGGGGGGGGGGGGCGCGGGCGGGGCGGACGAGGCGUUGGGGGGUGGUGGCGCACGGGUGCGUAACGCGUGGGAACCUGCGGUGAGGGUGGGAAUAACUCGCCGGAAGGGGUGCUAGUAGGGGAUAAUGGCUGCGGAGCAGAGCUUUAUCGCCUUGGGAUGGGCCCGCGUGGGAUUAGCUAGUUGGUAGGGUAGAAGCCUACCAAGGCGACGAUCAAUAGCUGGUCUGAGAGGAUGAUCAGCCACACUGAGACUGAGACACGGCCACGACUCCUACGUGAGGCAGCAGUGGGGAAUAUUGGACAAUGGGCGAAAGCCUGAUCCAGCAAUGCCGCGUGAGUGAUGAAGGCCGUAGGGUUGUAAAGCUCUUUUACCCGGGAUGAUAAUGACAGUACCGGGAGAAUAAGCUCCGGCUAACUCCGUG
rnacentral:rRNA from 1 species